UCCAAGUCGACACCCCUGCCUCUGGUUAGAAUCGUAGAGUCGGAGCCGAUCAUCUUCCAAUGGUCGACUUCUUCUAUUACUCUGUCAACGGCGAAACAUGGCUCCUAAAUUUCACUAAGAAGACCCUUAUUCCACCAAGAAAACCUAACCAGAUUUGUUGGGUUGUUGAUUUUGGGGGGAUUUGUGUCAAUUGUUGUGAAUAUAUCAGAAUCUCUUGAAGGAUGAUGGAAAAAAAUAAGAACAGGGAAAAUACCUAUGAGGUUAAUUUAUUUGAUUUGUUUAUUUUAUCAUUGAAUUUCUUGCAUUUUGAUUCCAUGUUUCCUUGCAAGUGAAGGGUUUGAGGAUUAACUCAAUAUGAACUACUACCAACAUCCAGAAUGGUAUGCAUCUAAUUAAAAAAGCAACAUACAGUUAGGGUUUGAGGAUGUUUACAUUAUCAUUGAGUGUCUUGUAUUUUUUAUGGUAAACAUCAUAUGGAUUUUCACUUAAAGGCAUCCCCAAGACUAAGACCGAGAAAGAGAGAAUGCAGGAAAAAAACGUUGGCUGUUUCGGGUCCUGUAAACACACAUACAUCAUUAAGAGAGUGUAACUUUGUGUAGAGUGAGUUUGUGUAUGUCUGUAGUUUUUUUUCUCUUGUAUUAAAGAGGGAGAUAGAGAGCGAGUUUAUGUAUGUAGUAAACACACCCAACACACACCAUUAAUCGCAUUCACAACCUACAUACAUGUUAGGUUUUAUGUAUGCAAAACACACACAAACACACACCUAUAAUCUCAUUCAUAAAGACUAUACAUGUUUCGUAUUUUUCCUGCA